GUGCAGCCAAUUAAGCCCAUUAGGUCCUUCCCUCACGGGGCCUGGUACACAAUGGGUUCAGGCAGCCAUCUUCUUCGUAGUAUAUGAAGCCUGUUGCUCAUAAGGGAUGCGCUAAGGACCUUGGAGACAGAU